CGUGCCAGCAGCCGCGGUAAUACGGAGGAUGCAAGCGUUAUCCGGAAUGAUUGGGCGUAAAGCGUCCGCAGGUGGUUUUGAAAGUCUGCUGUUAAAGCGUCAGGCUCAACCUGAUAAGGGCAGUGGAAACUAUGAGACUAGAGUGCGUUAGGGGCAGAGGGAAUUCCCAGUGUAGCGGGGAAAUGCGUAGAGAUUGGGAAGAACACCGGUGGCGAAGGCGCUCUGCUAUACCGUAACUGACACUGAGGGACGAAAGCUAGGGGA
rnacentral:rRNA from 1 species